UGCACGCCCCUUCCCCACCUCCUCCUCUUUUCUUCUCUUCUCCACCGAAGCCUUAAACCCUCUCUUCUUCUUCUUCUUCUUCUUCGUUUCUCUUCUCCAGCGGUGACGAACAACAAGGCUCUCCCUGUUCUUCUUCUCCAAGCUUGCAACCCCCUUCUCUUCUGCUUUUCUCUUCUCCAACGGCCACAAGCAACAAGUUUCUUCUUCCUUGCUGUUGUCCUGCUUCUCGGCAGCAUCGUCGGAGCUCCUCGGAGUGUGCCGGAGCUCGCCGGACCACUAGGAAAGGGGGGAAAACAAAACCCUAGUUGCUCUCUUCUUUUCCCCCACCAACAGCAGCACCUUGCUGCCUUUUGUCUUCUCCAACCAGCAGCCCUAGUUGCUGUCUUUUUCUUGACAGCACCGUCGGAGUUCGCCGGAGCUCGCCGGAGCUAGCUGAGGCGGCCAGUGACGAAGGGAAAACAAAAACCCUAAUUGCUGUCCUCAAUUCCAGUAGCCACACCAAUCUUUAGAAGACACGAGCUCGAGUGGAGCGCGGUGACCUGCCGAUACUCGAAGAUUUUUGCUGUACAUAGAACACGAGCUUGAGUGGAGCGCGGUGACCUGCCGACACUCGAAGAUUUUUGCUGUACAUAGAUUUUGCAGGCACGGGGAUCCUUUUGAUAUUAUAGUUGAUUUUGGACUUCCAUAGAGUUGCUCAGAGAUCUCGACGUGCUGAUUUUUCUGGUUUAUUUUACUUUUGUUUCGCUGUAUUUACAUUUUGAAAUUUUGUUACAGAUGUCGUUUAUUUGUAUAGUAAUUGUAGUUUACGAAAACUAUGAUAGAUAUAUAAAUUUGAUACAUUUCGUGGUUAUGUUAUUUCUAUUUUAUGUAUGUUCCAACCGUGUGGGCUGAUGAAUACGUUGUUUAUGUAUAUAUAUUGUGAUGUAUGUAUGUAUGUUUCAUAUUGUCACCCGUACAGGGGAGAUGCUGUCGGAUUUUUGUCUGGCAAGGACUCCUCUGGGGGCGUGACAUUUAGAUUUGAACUGAAAUUUGUAAGUCCGUUCACAAUUGAAAUAUUUUAAGUCUAUAAAUAGUCAUCAUCAAGUUCAGUUAGUGUUUUUGGAAUUAGAUUGGAUUAGCCGAUUAGCGGAUUUUCCCAGUUAAACUGUAAAAAUUAACAAGAAGUUGGCUAGCUAUAGUGAGAAAUACUGAACCUCAAGGCAUACUGAGGCUAAUUUGAGAAAGAAAUGAUAGUUCUGAAUAUGAAUCUCUUCGCAUCU